rnacentral:rRNA from 1 species
CCUACGGGAGGCAGCAGUGGGGGAUAUUGCACAAUGGGGGGAACCCUGAUGCAGCGACGCCGCGUGAGUGAAGAAGUAAUUCGUUAUGUAAAGCUCUAUCAGCAGGGAAGAAUAAAUGACGGUACCUGAGUAAGAAGCCCCGGCUAACUACGUGCCAGCAGCCGCGGUAAUACGUAGGGGGCAAGCGUUAUCCGGAUUUACUGGGGGUAAAGGGAGCGUAGACGGCGAUGCAAGUCAGCUGUGAAAAUUACGGGCUUAACCUGUAGACUGCAGUUGAAACUGGCUUUCUUGAGUGAAGUAGAGGUUGGCGGAAUUCCGGGUGUAGCGGUGAAAUGCGUAGAUAUUCGGAGGAACACCGGUGGCGAAGGCGGGCAACUGGGCUUUAACUGACGCUGAGGCUCGAAAGUGUGGGGAGCAAACAGGAUUAGAUACCCCUGUAGUC